rnacentral:rRNA from 1 species
AUUGAACGCUGGCGGCAGGCCUAACACAUGCAAGUCGAACGGUAACAGGAAGCAGCUUGCUGCUUCGCUGACGAGUGGCGGACGGGUGAGUAAUGUCUGGGAAACUGCCUGAUGGAGGGGGAUAACUACUGGAAACGGUAGCUAAUACCGCAUAACGUCGCAAGACCAAAGAGGGGGACCUUAGGGCCUCUUGCCAUCGGAUGUGCCCAGAUGGGAUUAGCUAGUAGGUGGUGUAACGGCUCACCUAGGCGACGAUCCCUAGCUGGUCUGAGAGGAUGACCAGCGACACUGGAACUGAGACACGGUCCAGACUCCUACGGGAGGCAGCAGUGGGGAAUAUUGCACAAUGGGCGCAAGCCUGAUGCAGCAAUGCCGCGUGUAUGAAGAAGGCCUUCGGGUUGUAAAGUACUUUCAGCGGGGAGGAAGGGAGUAAAGUUAAUACCUUUGCUCAUUGACGUUACCCGCAGAAGAAGCACCGGCUAACUCCGUG